GGCCCCUCCUUAGCCUGGGGGCCGGGCAGCAAGAGGACGAGCAGCUGAGCUGGGGAGCAGCUCACAGCGUCAUCAGCUCCGGCUGCUCUGACUCUCAGCCCCCUCCCCAUGGGGACGCCAACCCUGCUCCAGACGCCCCCUCUUACUGGCCUCAGAAGUUAUAGGUGCCAGCCUGGCUGGAAGUGAGGCCUCUGUCAGAGGCCCUGGCAUGGCUUGGGCACGGGGAUGGGUGGCGAGGGGCUCACGGGCACCUGCGCUGCCAGGGGGCUCAGCUCGCCAAUGGCUGACCUCAUGGUCCUCCACGGCCUCGCCUCGGCUUGCAGUGGGCGCUGUUGCCUAAUUAGGUUCGACUGUGCCAGCCUAGCCGGAACCCCACGCCCGGCCCGCGCUCUGGCAGGCGUGUCCGGGCAUGGCUCCUGGACUCCCGCUGGAGCAGGAAGCCGUGGUGCCUGCUCAGAAACCCGGCAGCAGCCCGCACGGCAGCCGGAGCUGGCGCUGGCCUCUCGGGCUGUGUGGCCCAGGGCCUGUGGUGGGGUCCCACCGUCUUGGGGACCACCUUGCAGGUGGCUGGCCCUAGCUGGUCAUCCAGGCCCGUCCCACCUCCUGCCAGCCGCCCCCACAGCCCAGAGCCCUCUGUCCCUCCGCGAUGGCGCCCUCGCCUGAGGACCCAGGCCCCGACCUGGAGAGCAGACGGCCUUUCCUGAGCAUCAACAUUCUGCCUGUGGGUGAGUGAGGCCUCGGGCUGACGGCAGCGCAGGUCCGGGUUCGGUUCCCUGGUGAGCGUGGUGUCCUGGUCCCUCCUGGGGUAGAGGGAGCCCUGCCUGCUCCUCCAGAGCGGGGGUUGGCGUGGACCUCUCCUGGCACAAACUCAUUCGGAAGACAGUUUGGGCACUGCCAGCCCUGUCCUGCCCCAUCAGACCCCCAAGAGCUCGGUGCCAGCUCGCUGGCCUCAGCCCGUGUCUCGGCUGCUGGGCUGGGUGUCCCAGGGCCGCACAUGGCACCUCCAGGCCUGGCCCUAACUGCCGUUUCUCUACGACCUGUUGGCAGUGACACUGGUGGCCUCCCUUUACUCCCCUCUCAACUUUAACAACCACGGGACUCUGGUAUCCACACUGAAAGGGGCUCAGAGCUCGGGGUGCGGCUGGGCGGGGGCAGGGAGUGGG
rnacentral:lncRNA from 1 species